UACGGGGGGAGCAAGCGUUGUUCGGAUUUACUGGGCGUAAAGGGCGCGUAGGCGGCCACCGCAAGUCGACUGUGAAAUCUCCGGGCUUAACUCGGAAAGGUCAGCCGAUACUGCGGGGCUAGAGUGCAGAGGGGGCAACUGGAAUUCUCGGUGUAGCGGUGAAAUGCGUAGAUAUCGAGAGGAACACCUGCGGCGAAGGCGGGUUGCUGGGCUGACACUGACGCUGAGGCGCGAAAGCUAGGGGAGCGAACGGG
rnacentral:rRNA from 1 species